UGGGGAAUCUUGGGCAAUGGGCGCAAGCCUGACCCAGCCAUGCCGCGUGUGUGAAGAAGGCCUUAGGGUUGUAAAACCCUUUCAGCGGGGAAGAUGAUGACGGUACCCGCAGAAGAAGCCCCGGCUAACUCCGUGCCAGCAGCCGCGGUAAUACGGAGGGGGCUAGCGUUGUUCGGAAUUACUGGGCGUAAAGGGCGUGUAGGCGGUUUGCCGAGUCAGGCGUGAAAGCCCCGGGCUUAACCUGGGAACUGCGUUUGAUACUGGCAGGCUAGAGGUUGGAAGAGGAGAGUGGAAUUCCCAGUGUAGAGGUGAAAUUCGUAGAUAUUGGGAAGAACACCAGUGGCGAAGGCGGCUCUCUGGUCCAGACCUGACGCUGAGGCGCGAAAGCGUGGGGAGCAAACAGGAUUAGAUACCCGUGUAGUCC
rnacentral:rRNA from 1 species